CCCAAGUCAGCAUCGGAACAGACUAUACGGUGGAAGAACCGGAGCACAGCACUGUCAUCAGUAUCAACAGAUCUUGUGAGCACAAGCGUGAAUGAAAUGAUCUGAAAAAGCAAAUAUGUUCUUCAUCGGCAUGCAAUGUAGAACAUCAAAUCAAGAAUUACAUUUAAUAGAAAACAUAUAAUUACACCGAUGUUGAGUGAAAUCCUUAUAUGCUUAUUCCAGGAUUGGAACACCCUUAGAAUUCUAAAUGAGAGACCGACAGUGAAGCAAUGCUGCCCCCUAAAGCUUG